AAAGCAGGAUUUGGUACAUUUGGUCCCGAAGGAAAUCCCAGAUUAACCAGUGUGGUGUGGUAGAUAGUUGUUUACAUGAACUGACAGAAGUAUACCAAGUAACAAAGUUAGUUAUUUACAGCCAAAGUUCAAUGCCUCCAAACCAAAGCUUAACUCCUAACAGGAAAUGUCUCCAAAUAUUGUGGCCAAACCUUAACUCCUAACAGGAAAUGUCUCCAAAUAUUGUGGCCAAACCUUGGAACCUAAAAAAAUGGAGAGAAAAACGAAAUCAGGAAAUGCAACAGACAGGAAGUCACAUAGGAUAAAACUAUCUCAUUGCACCUGACAUAUACAGUACUGCUAAGAAAUUUCAUUAUCAGUUAUUUUGUAGAUUUUUUAAUAGAAUUAGCUCACUGAUGAGAGCCAACUGAAACUUUGCUGAAAUACAAUUUGAUGUGAUAAACUUUUUUACAAUAGUUAAAGUCGAAUGUGCAUAUAUACUUAAGCAUGUACUGUGUCAAAUAUAUAUCUUCAGAACCGGAGAAUCAGCAUGCAUGUCAUCUGCUAUUUUUCUAAUAAAAAUGUUUCCGUACCAUCCAUCGUCUCAACCUUCUGAAUCCAACUAAUCCAAGCUCGCCAUCGCCAUCAAUGGCACAUCCAGCUCAUGAAAGGAUAAAUAGCAAUAAAACAUUUAUGCACCACUCGUGUGUGUGUGUGUACAUAACAAUGGAAUAGAAAACAAUGAAAAUGUCUCAUUCAUCUGCUUCCUACUGAACCAAAGUGUGCUCCUCCGAGAAACAAUCACCAAAAUAACAUUUAAAAUUAGUAAAGGAUAAUGCUACAAUUUUCAGAUUGUCGGCAGAGAGGUUAGAGCUAUCAUCGUGACAAUGUAUUGCCAGAUAAAUCAACUACUUAAGUGUAAUUAUAUAACUUCUAUUUCAUUACCCCAAAAAAAUAGUAUAGCAAAAAGGCAUGGAUUCAAAAACUUCUCCAAAAUCAUCUACUGGAAAAAUAAAUCAGAAAGACAAUGUCUGUCAUAUAUACACACAGGGGGGUCUAGAAGAAGAAAAAUCGGAUCAUCUGUAGGUGAUAUACCUUUGCAGAAGGACAACCUUAGAGGUACACUAAGUAGACUUCAAAGUGUGUAAACUGAUCUAAUAGGUGAAAGUUUAAUUCAACAAAUAUGGCAAUCACUAACUGCCCUAUAGUCAAGAGAUUGUAUCACUAAGCUGCCCCUUCUAAGCAAUAAUGGUAGCAGUUGCUUGCAGGGUGAGAAAGGUUAACUUUCCGAUAAGCAGACAUUCUUGAUUAUGAUCAAAACAAUAGCCUUGUUAUAUUACCUGGCGAUAUUGGGUGACUGAAACUUAAAGUCCACUAAGAAGUAAACAUCACAGGUUGCAGAACAGGACCAGGCUUGAAUUUCCAAACGUUUAUCAAAUGAUCUAAAAGUCCACUUUGAGACGCUAUCGUCUGCAGCAGAGCAGUAUAGUCAGAAGCAAAAAAACGCAACUAAGCAAUCAUGAAGGGAAAAAGACCAGAGUACUCCAGAGAACUGCCAAUAUUACUAAUUAAUACUGAAGCUAAAGAAGCACCCUCUAGAUUGACUAUAGUCAGAUUAACAAAGUUGAUAAGUAGACUUUCAUCGACUAACAAUAUACAGUAUUUAUUAGAACAAAGAUAAAGAAGUUACCACGCUUGUUAUAGAAGGAUAGAAGUUCUCACAUUACUUGAAAACAAAGAGGCAGAUCUACACUGCUUAUUAUGGUGGUGCAGAAGUGCCAGUUAAUCAGAUAAAAAAAUAUGUAUCAGAACUGUUAUAGCUUUAUAAGACGAAAUUGGAUGACACUUCCUUCAGUAUUUACUGUGCCAAAAUAUUUACUCUGACCUCGAAUGGCACUCACGAAGAAAUCUUGAACUAUGAAACCAUGUGAGCAUGGUCUAUGUUACCGUAAAGGACAAAGAAUAAAAAAUAUACAAAAAGGAAAUGACAUUUGUACAGUAAGGAAAACUAACCAUGAAUAGAUGAACCUUAAGGCACACAAUGGGAAUAAGACAGGAGUUUGUUCAGUAGAUUUACCAUUGGGCAAAAAUGUUAUUAGUAGGCUUAAGACACACGCAUGAGGCAUAACAGAUAAUGAAUGCCAGAACAUGGCAUCAUAAAAAAU
rnacentral:lncRNA from 1 species